rnacentral:rRNA from 1 species
GACGAACGCUGGCGGCGUGCUUAACACAUGCAAGUCGAACGGAAAGGCCCUGCUUUUGUGGGGUGCUCGAGUGGCGAACGGGUGAGUAACACGUGAGUAACCUGCCCUUGACUUUGGGAUAACUUCAGGAAACUGGGGCUAAUACCGGAUAGGAGCUCCUGCUGCAUGGUGGGGGUUGGAAAGUUUCGGCGGUUGGGGAUGGACUCGCGGCUUAUCAGCUUGUUGGUGGGGUAGUGGCUUACCAAGGCUUUGACGGGUAGCCGGCCUGAGAGGGUGACCGGCCCCAUUGGGACUGAGAUACGGCCCAGACUCCUACGGGAGGCAGCAGUGGGGAAUAUUGCACAAGGGGCGGAAGCCUGAUGCAGCAACGCCGCGUGCGGGAUGACGGCCUUCGGGUUGUAAACCGCUUUCGCCUGUGACGAAGCGUGAGUGACGGUAAUGGGUAAAGAAGCACCGGCUAACUACGUG